rnacentral:snRNA from 1 species
CUGCUUCCACAGCACAUUUAAUAAGACUCAAUACAGAGAAGAUGACCAUGUCUGAGCAAGGAUAAUGCAUAAAUUCGUGAGGCGUUCCAUCUUAUU